rnacentral:snRNA from 1 species
AUCCUUGCUUUAGCAGUAUAUAUACUAAAAAUUAUAACAAUUAGCAAAGCUCCUGUGCAAGGAUCACACAAAAAUUGAUGAAACAUUCCAUAUUUUU